rnacentral:rRNA from 1 species
CGUGGAGACAGGUGGUGCAUGGCUGUCGUCAGCUCGUGUCGUGAGAUGUUGGGUUAAGUCCCGCAACGAGCGCAACCCUCACCUCUUGUUGCCAUCAGGUCAUGCUGGGCACUCUAGAGGAACUGCCCCGGUCAACGGGGAGGAAGGCGGGGAUGACGUCAAGUCAUCAUGCCCCUUACGUCCUGGGCUACACACGUGCUACAAUGGCCGGUACAAAGGGAUGCCACACCGCGAGGUAGAGCUAAACCCAAAAAGCCGGUCUAAGUUCAGAUUGGAGUCUGCAACUCGACUCCAUGAAGGAGGAAUCGCUAGUAAUCGCGCAUCAGCACGACGCGGUGAAUACGUUCCCGGGCCUUGUACACACCGCCCGUCACACCACGAAAGCCUGCUGUACUCGAAGUCGCUGAG